rnacentral:rRNA from 1 species
GUUGUAAGGUUAAGAAAUUAAGCGUACACGGUGGAUGCCUAGGCAAUCAGAGGCGAAGAAGGACGUGUUAAUCUGCGAAAAGCGACGGUGAGCCGAUAAAAGGCGCUAUAGCCGUUGAUGUCCGAAUGGGGAAACCCAGUGUAGGUGACUACACUAUCAUAUAAUGAAUUCAUAGUUAUAUGAGGCGAACCGGGAGAACUGAAACAUCUAAGUACCCCGAGGAAAAGAAAUCAACCGAGAUUCCCUAAGUAGCGGCGAGCGAAAGGGGAGGAGCCCAAGCGGGUAGCAUGAUGUAUUAGUGGAAGCGUCUGGAAAGUCGCACGAUAGAGGGUGAAAGUCCCGUACAUGAAAAUGCAUGAUGUGGAAGCUUAUAGAGUAGGGCGGGACACGUGAUAUCCUGUCUGAAGAAGGGGGGACCAUCCUCCAAGGCUAAAUACUCCUGAUUGACCGAUAGUGAACCAGUACCGUGAGGGAAAGGCGAAAAGAACCCCGGGAGGGGAGUGAAAUAGACCCUGAAACCGUGUACGUACAAUCAGUGGGAGCUGUUACCGUUGGGUAAUAGUGACUGCGUACCUUUUGUAUAAUGGGUCAGCGACUUAUAUUCUGUAGCGAGGUUAACCGAAUAGGGGAGCCGAAGGGAAACCGAGUAUUAACUGUGCGUUAAGUUGCAGGGUAUAGACCCGAAACCCGGUGAUCUAGCCAUGGGCAGGUUGAAGGUUGGUUAACACUAACUGGAGGACCGAACCGACUAAUGUUGAAAAAUUAGCGGAUGACCUGUGGCUGGGGGUGAAAGGCCAAUCAAACCGGGAGAUAGCUGGUUCUCCCCGAAAGCUAUUUAGGUAGCGCCUCAUGAGUAACUGUUGGGGGUAGAGCACUGUUUCGGCUAGGGGGCCAUCCCGGCUUACCAACCCGAUGCAAACUCCGAAUACUGACAAGUUUAAUCAUGGGAGACACACGGCGGGUGCUAACGUUCGUCGUGAAGAGGGAAACAACCCAGACCGCCAGCUAAGGUCCCAAAGUCAUAGUUAAGUGGGAAACGAAGUGGGAAGGCUUAGACAGCUAGGAUGUUGGCUUAGAAGCAGCCAUCAUUUAAAGAAAGCGUAAUAGCUCACUAGUCGAGUCGGCCUGCGCGGAAGAU